rnacentral:lncRNA from 1 species
ACACCGGCCCCGCCGCUCUCCGUGGUGCUGAACGGCGGCCGCCGCCGCGGCGGGAGGCCCCGGAGCCGUUCGCGGUGGAGCCUCCUCGGCCCUUCUCUUUCCAAGCCGCCACCACUUCGUGAUUAUUGUUCUAAUUAUCAGUAAUUAUUGUCGUGAGCGUCGCCGCCGUUCCCGUCGCUCGGGUGCGCGGCGGCACGGCGAACCGUUCCGAGUGGGAGACGGUGCCACCGAGGCAGCCGGUUGCCGAAUUAACGGAUCGUCGCCCCGUACGGCCCCGGUAGCUGCCGCCCGCGGUCCCCCCCCCCGGCUUGGUGGGCAGGGGCACACCGAGCCGGUGCCGUUACCUCCGCCACCGGGCUCCGAAACGCCGCCGCCACCGGGGAUGGAGGCUCGGGGCCCGGCACCGGGCGGCGGCGGCGGCUGCGGCGGGCUCGGCCCCGCUGCCCUCCACACCUCCGGGGGUCCCGCCGCCUCCCGGUCUUCUCCCCAGCCCCGGCGGUUUUCCCCGGUGAAACGGUGCCUCCCGAGGGGGCGAACCCCCCGCUACGGCCGCAGCCCUAAAGCUCCGCCGGGGGAACGAACGGGAGCCACGGAGCGGCCCCGGGAGCAUCCACGGGAAGGGGCAGCUCCGGGCACCGGCGGGGCCGGGGCUCAGCAUCCUCACCGGCCCCGCUCCUUCGCCGCCCCCCCGGGCCCGGGAAGCCGCCGCGCAGGCACCGGGCGAGCCGCAGCGGCCCGGUUCGGCCCCGCCGGUCUCCCGGUGCCGUUCCCCUCGGCUCCGCGCCCCCGGGAGGGCCCGGGGAGGCGGCGGGGGAGGCUCGGCAGGGCCGGCAGCGAAGGGGCGGCUGCCCCACGCGUGUUCGCGGCGGCGGGAGGAUGGGAAGGGAGGCCCGGGGCUCGCCCGGCCCCGCUCCUUCCCGGCACUUACCGAGCGCUCGGCCGCCUCCAGCCCUCGGCCGGCGGCUGCGGGCACCGGCUCGGAGCCCGGUGCCUCUCGUCCCCCGUCCUCCCCUCGCCGCCACCCCCGUGUGCAUCAAAUACCUUCACUGCAGCAGCCAUGUUGGGCUCCGGUGCGAGCACGGCGCUCGCCGCAGGAGCCGCCGGGCGCCUCGGCGGGAGGCAGCGCGGCUCGGCUCGGCUCGGCUCGGAGCCGUGCUCCCACCGGAGGAACCGGCGGGCCCGGGCCGGCCUCUCCCGCAGCCCCGCUUCGCAGCCGUACCCCCGGCAGCACCGCAACUUGUCGCCGUUACCGGCAGCGCCAGGCCCGGGGGUCGCGGGAGGGUCUCGCUGCCCGCCCCGUCCCGGCCCCACCGCUGCCCACGGUGGGAACGGGCGAGCAUCAGCCCCGGGGCUAGCGCCUGGCGAGAGGCACGGAAAGCCGCAAUUACCUCCUCGGCGGGCGGGCAGAGUCCCCCGGCGCAGCCUCUGGGCCG